GCCACAUCACAUUAAAACCCUGGUUCCUGUACGAUCACUGAAGUUAAGCAACAUUGAACCUGGUCAGUACCUAGAUGGAUGAUUACUUGGGAAUACCAGGCACUGUAA